CCAGAUUCGUUUCACUUUUGGCCCCAUUCGGCCCACACAGUAACUCCGCGACACGCCAGAAUGAUGCGGAAGAAGGCUCAUCUGGUUUUGCGGAUGCUGGAGUUGCGAAUCGGUCAACCACUUUUGAUCCAGGUGUUAAAUAAACGGCAUUCACUUGCGAUCAUCUUGCGGGGAGUAAGAUUCCGUUGCGCGCAGCAGAAGAGGUCGACAUGGAUCUCAGCAAUGGAUGCCGAUUCCCCUGUUUUGUCUCGAUCGGACGUCUCGAUCCGGAAAUGUC